rnacentral:RNase_P_RNA from 1 species
GGUAACGCCUGGGGGGUGUCACAGCCCACGACCAGUGCAACAGAGAGCAAACCGCCGAUGGCCCGCGCAAGCGGGAUCAGGUAAGGGUGAAAGGGUGCGGUAAGAGCGCACCGCGCGGCUGGUAACAGUCCGCGGCACGGUAAACUCCACCCGGAGCAAGGCCAAAUAGGGGUUCAUAAGGUACGGCCCGUACUGAACCCGGGUAGGCUGCUUGAGCCAGUGAGCGAUUGCUGGCCUAGAUGAAUGACUGUCCACGACAGAACCCGGCUUAUCGGUCAGUUUCACCU